rnacentral:lncRNA from 1 species
GUCGCUCUGCAGCGGUCCUCCCCAUCAGCAGCAGAGGCAGCAGGGGCGUGGGCGGUGGCACUGCCGGGGCGCAUGUGGAGGUAGCUGCGCAUGAUGUAGGCGACGCGCAGGGCAUACUCGUUAUAGGGGACUUUGACAGGGGCGGACAGAGGAGGGGCCGGAGCCGCGAGCUGGGAGUCGUCCGGCGGCGCGGAGCUCGAUGAGGGGGGAGGCGGAGAAGGAGGGUUACUCUCUGACGGCUCAGGGGGCGUAUCCUGGGGCAGGGGCGACUGCUC